rnacentral:lncRNA from 11 species
AACAGAAAAGUGGGCAAUUUGUGACCCUCCAGAUGUAGUUGGAUUUCAUCUCCCACCAUCUCCCACCAUUUGCUAAGUUGACUAAGGAAAAUGAAUAUUAUAGUCCAACAUUGGAGAGCUGUAAGUGGGAACAAAGAAAGUGGAAAUGGAACAUGCAACAUGAAGGAACACAAAAGAACUAGAACUGAGUCUCUAGAAAGGAAAUAUAACAUUUCCUGUUUGAAACUUGCAGUGGAGUUCAAAAUGUCUUUAAUCACAUUUUUUUUAAUAAAGGUAUGUUUUUGACCCAAUAAGACUUGAAAUGCUAGGCAUUUGAGAGGAAUGAGAGGAA